rnacentral:rRNA from 1 species
AUUGAACGCUGGCGGCAGGCCUAACACAUGCAAGUCGAACGGUAACAGGAAGAAGCUUGCUUCUUUGCUGACGAGUGGCGGACGGGUGAGUAAUGUCUGGGAAACUGCCUGAUGGAGGGGGAUAACUACUGGAAACGGUAGCUAAUACCGCAUAACGUCGCAAGACCAAAGAGGGGGACCUUCGGGCCUCUUGCCAUCGGAUGUGCCCAGCUGGGCUUAGCUAGUAGGUGGGGUAACGGCUCACCUCGGCGACGAUCCCUAGCUGGUCUGAGAGGAUGACAAGCCACACUGGAACUGAGCCACGGUCCAGACUCCUACGGGAGGCAGCAGUGGGGAAUAUUGCACAAUGGGCGCAAGCCUGAUGCAGCCAUGCCGCGUGUAUGAAGAAGGCCUUCGGGUUGUAAAGUACUUUCAGCGGGGAGGAAGGGAGUAAAGUUAAUACCUUGGCUGAUUGACGUUACCCGCAGAAGAAGCACCGGCUAACUCCGUG